GGGGGUGUACUGGCUUUCGACGGGAAAUGGGAGAUAUUGAACAGCAUGUCGAGGAUAUCGGUUGGCCUCGUUAAUCAUCCGGUAAAAUUAUAAUUGCCGAAGAUUAUUCUUUCGCAAUGGCUGCUUAAUAAAGCGGCAACUUGAGCAGGGAGCGCACUUCUUUUUGCUUGAGCAGUUUAAGGUGCUGGUCCGGAAAAGGGUACCGGUUUCCGGAUGAGAUUUUUGGUACUGGGCACAUUGUAAGCGGGUUUGUCGGCGUACGGUGUGUCGAGAUUAAAAGACAGACUAAGCAUGUAGCGGUUCAUAUUGAUCGUUUUUCGGACAGGGGUUCAACUCCCCUCACCUCCACCA
rnacentral:tmRNA from 1 species